GACGAACGCUGGCGGCGUGCUUAACACAUGCAAGUCGAACGGGAUUUAGUAGACAGAAGCCUCGGCUAAAGAUUACUAAUGAGAGUGGCGAACGGGUGAGUAACGCGUGAGCAACCUGCCUAUGACAGUGGGAUAGCCUCGGGAAACCGGGAUUAAUACCGCAUAAAAUCGUAGAAACACAUGUUUUAACGGUCAAAGAUUUAUCGGUCAUAGAUGGGCUCGCGUCUGAUUAGCUAGUUGGUGAGAUAACAGCCCACCAAGGCGACGAUCAGUAGCCGGUCUGAGAGGAUGAACGGCCACAUUGGAACUGGGACACGGUCCAAACUCCUACGGGAGGCAGCAGUGGGGAAUAUUGCACAAUGGGGGAAACCCUGAUGCAGCGACGCCGCGUGAACGAAGAAGGUAUUCGCAUCGUAAAGUUCUGUCCUAUGGGAAGAUAAUGACAGUACCAUAGAAGAAAGCUCCGGCUAAAUACGUG
rnacentral:rRNA from 1 species